rnacentral:rRNA from 1 species
GAUGAACGCUAGCGGCAGGCCUAAUACAUGCAAGUCGAACGGUGUAGCAAUACACAGUGGCGCACGGGUGCGUAACACGUAUGCAACCUACCUUACAUUGGGGGAUAGCCUUUCGAAAGGGAGAUUAAUACCGCAUAAGACAGUAACUAGGCAUCUAGUAGCUGUUAAAGAUUUAUAGAUGUAAGCUGGGCAUGCGUCCAAUUAGUUAGUUGGCGAGGUAAUGGCUCGCCAAGACGAUGAUUGGUAGGGGAACUGAGAGGUGAAUCCCCCACACUGGGACAUAGACACGGGUCAGACUCGUACGGGAAGCAGCAUUAGGGAAUAUUGGGCAGUGAGCUCAAUCCUGACCCAUCCAUGCAGCGUGCAGGAAGUAGGCGUUAUACGUUGUAAACUGCUUUUAAACAGGAAGAAACGACCCUUGCGAGAGGCAUUGACGGUACUGAAUGAAUAAGCACCGGCUAACUCCGUGCCAGCCGCCGCGGUAACAC